CCCAGAUAAAUGGGUUGGAGUCUGAUAAACUCGUACAUUGCGUGUUGUCAUCAGCUUCUUCUCUUGUUUAUUACGAGAAUGGAGUUAAAUAACAGCACUAAAUAA